AAAGUUUCCCUAAAAAUCUCUAAAACUUUGUUUCAGUUCAGGUUGGGGUUGCUUUUGCAGCUCUGCCUUGAGGAAUCAUGUCACUCCUCACUCUCUUAUCACUUUUUCUUCUUUCAAAGUUUAAAGGAGGAAUUUUAGAAAUGGAACUAAAGUGAUUUUUAGAAUGGUUUGUGUUCCUCAGUGUAGAUUGCCAUCAGGUGGACUAGAACUUGUUUAAAAAUAGGGGCAGUUAAUUUGUUGGUACCAGGGAUCGAACCUGGGACCUUGCGUUUUUGAGGCCAGCGCCAGAACCACUGAGCUAAAUCCUCGGCCAGGGGCAAUUAAUUUGAAAACCAACCAACCAGCUUUUAAGUUAAAGAUUUGAAGUGACUUUAAAAGCCUUAGCUUAGGUUAAGAAUUUGAGUAUUUCUUCCCAGCCUUUAGCAACCUACAUUAUACUGCAAUUAUUAUAUUUUAAUACUUUACAGUUACUUGUAACUGACAGAUCAGGUUAACUGGCUUUGCCUCCCAUCCACUCCAUUAGUAUUUCAAAGUCAUGUGGAAUGCCCAGGGUCAUCUGAAAAGGAGGAACAAGUACACAGCAGGAUUCUCUUGUCUUCUUGAGAAGGCUCUGGUUUCUCUGUACACAGUUCACAUCACACUUGCUUCUUGUAUGUUAAUUGCAUCUCUCUUGGGGUGGUUUUUUUUCUGCAUGUGUAAAAAUAACACAAGUGUUCCCGCAAGGCCCAACUGCAUGGUAAACUUUCUACCAUGACUUUCAGUAUUUCAAACACUUGUGGAGCAGUCACCCCCUCUGACCAUCUUCUUUGGGCAUUCUAAAACAUGGCUUAGUUUAGAAACCUGUUUUUCUGUAAGAAGUAUCUCCUGCAUAAUAGAAAUUAUUGGUAUCAAAGAACUCAUAUGCUCAUUUCUGCCCCCAUGUCUGUUUUUUCACUUUUCUCCCAUAUUUACCAUUGCUUCAUCAUUAAUCACAGAGGCAACAACAGCUGAAAUCACCAUUAAAAUCUUAACUCCUUCUAAAGUGACUUUGAAAGAUCUUCCUUCCUUUUCAGCCUGUGUGAAUUUUUUCCCCACCCCCGUUUUACUUUGUGUUAAAAUCCUAACAUGAACCCUGAGUGGCUCUCUGGGAGGGUACAGUGAAGUCUAGGGGAAGGCAUCUAUUUUGAAAACGAACAUAAUGUGGCCUCUGGGAGUUCUUUUUCUGUAAGAAUACUGACUUUCUGGAGUAAUUAGUAUAUUAUUGUACAUGAUUGCUUUGUGAAAUGUGCAAAUAAUAUCACCUAUGCAGCCUUGUUUGAUUUAUUUCCUCCAGUUUGUACCGUUAUUAAAAGCAUAUUGUAUUAUAGAGCUAUUCAGAUAUUUUAAAUAUAAAGAUGUAUUGUUUCCGUAAUAUAGAUGUAUGGAACAUAUUUAGGUAAUAGACACAUUACAUGCAAAGUUCUGCUUUGACAAACUGACAGAUUCUAGGUUAAUUAGCAAAUGGAACAUCCCAAGAAGAGGAUAAAGACACUUAAAAUGGAAACAGUUAUCCAAAGGUGUACAAUUUGGGCUUGCUCAACUGGUGGGUUUGUAGUUCCAGUCCUGGGCCUAGAAUUAGCUCAGUGGUGCCGCCGCCUGCCUUGCAAGCACAAGGUCCUGAGUUUGAUCCCCAUUACCAAAAACAAAGCAAAAUAAUAUAUUACCAGUACUCCCCUUACCUCCCCAAAAUUUAAAAUUCUUUCUUUGAGCUCUUAAGAAUGUGUAACUUAUAACUGAUUUUAAAAGAGAAAUUUGUGGUUUCAGUUUGGGAAUAAUCAUUCAGUAAAAUGUGCAGUGUGUUUUAUGCAGACAAAGCAGCUUGGCAUUAUAAUAGUCCCUCCUUGAGGUGGGGGCCAGCCUGGCACUGUGGCCAGGGAUGGCCAUGUAAGUCCCGUCAGGAUAGUCAUGCUCUCCCGCAUUUCACCACUCGAGUUUAGUAACAGUGCAGAUUCCAUGUUCCUGUUCCGAUACUCUCUGAGAAGUGCCUGAUGAUGCUGAUGUACUUACAGAUACAAGAACAAUCUUUGCUAUAAUUGUAUAAAGCCAU
rnacentral:lncRNA from 1 species